rnacentral:rRNA from 1 species
GACGAACGCUGGCGGCGUGCUUAACACAUGCAAGUCGAACGGCAAGGCCCUGGUAUUGUGGGGUGCUCGAGUGGCGAACGGGUGCGGAAAACGUGUGUAACUUGCCCUUGACUUUGGUAUAACUUCAGGUAACUGGGGCUAAUACCGGAUAGGAUGUCCUGAUGGAGGGUGGGGGUUGGAAAGUUUCGGCGGUGGGGGAUGGAUUCGCGGCUUAUCAGCUAGGUAGUGGGGUAGAGGCUUACCAAGGCUUUGAAGGGUAGACGACCUGAGAGAGUGACUGGCCACAUUAAGACUGAGAUACGGCCCAGACUCCUACAGGAGACAACAGUCGGGAAUAUUGCACAAUGGGCGGACGCCGGCUGAAACAACGCCGCGUGCGGGAUGACGGCCUUCAGGUUAUAAACCGCUUUCGCCUAUGACGACGCGUUAGUGACGGUAAUGGGUAAAGAAGCACGGGCUAACUACGUG